rnacentral:rRNA from 1 species
UGGCGGCAGGCCUAACACAUGCAAGUCGAGCGGUAACAUUUCUAGCUUGCUAGAAGAUGACGAGCGGCGGACGGGUGAGUAACGCGUAGAAAUCUACCUAGUAGUCGGGGGAUAGCCCAGAGAAAUUUGGAUUAAUACCGCAUACGCCCUACGGGGGAAAGCCGGGGGAUCUUCGGACCUCGUGCUAUUAGAUGAGUCUGCGUCGGAUUAGCUUGUUGGUGAGGUAAUGGCUCACCAAGGCGACGAUCCGUAGCUGGUCUGAGAGGAUGACCAGCCACACUGGAACUGAGACACGGUCCAGACUCCUACGGGAGGCAGCGGUGGGGAAUAUUGCACAAUGGGCGCAAGCCUGAUGCAGCCAUGCCGCGUGUGUGAAGAAGGCCUUAGGGUUGUAAAGCACUUUCAGCAGUGAGGAAAGGGGUGUCGUUAAUAGCGCCAUCCUGUGACGUUAACUGCAGAAGAAGGACCGGCUAACUCCGUG